rnacentral:rRNA from 1 species
UUGACCUCGGAUCAGGUAGGAAUACCCGCUGAACUUAAGCAUAUCAAUAAGCGGAGGAAAAGAAACCAACAGGGAUUGCCCUAGUAACGGCGAGUGAAGCGGCAACAGCUCAAAUUUGAAAUCUGGCUCUCGGGCCCGAGUUGUAAUUUGUAGAGGAUACUUUUGAUGCGGUGCCUUCCGAGUUCCCUGGAACGGGACGCCAUAGAGGGUGAGAGCCCCGUCUGGUUGGAUGCCAAAUCUCUGUAAAGUUCCUUCGACGAGUCGAGUAGUUUGGGAAUGCUGCUCUAAAUGGGAGGUAUAUGUCUUCUAAAGCUAAAUACCGGCCAGAGACCGAUAGCGCACAAGUAGAGUGAUCGAAAGAUGAAAAGCACUUUGAAAAGAGAGUUAAAAAGUACGUGAAAUUGUUGAAAGGGAAGCGUUUAUGACCAGACUUGGGCUUGGUUAAUCAUCUGGGGUUCUCCCCAGUGCACUUUUCCAGUCCAGGCCAGCAUCAGUUUUCCCCGGGGGAUAAAGACUUCGGGAAUGUGGCUCUCUUCGGGGAGUGUUAUAGCCCGUUGUGUAAUACCCUGGGGGGGACUGAGGUUCGCGCAUCUGCAAGAUGCGGC